rnacentral:rRNA from 1 species
GUGGGGAAUUUUGGACAAUGGGCGCAAGCCUGAUCCAGCAAUGCCGCGUGCAGGAAGAAGGCCUUCGGGUUGUAAACUGCUUUUGUACGGAUCGAAACGGUCCUGGUUAAUACCUGGGGCUAAUGACGGUACCGUAAGAAUAAGCACCGGCUAACUACGUGCCAGCAGCCGCGGUAAUACGUAGGGUGCGAGCGUUAAUCGGAAUUACUGGGCGUAAAGCGUGCGCAGGCGGUGCUGUAAGACAGGCGUGAAAUCCCCGGGCUCAACCUGGGAAUUGCGCUUGUGACUGCAGUGCUGGAGUACGGCAGAGGGGGAUGGAAUUCCGCGUGUAGCAGUGAAAUGCGUAGAUAUGCGGAGGAACACCGAUGGCGAAGGCAGUCCCCUGGGCCUGUACUGACGCUCAUGCACGAAAGCGUGGGGAGCAAACAGGAUUAGAAACCCCAGUAGUCC